ACAUACGACCAUACCCAACCAAAAAUACGGCAUCCCGUCCGCUCUGCCCUAGUCAAAUGGUUGAGGGGCCGAAUCAGUACUCAGGCGGGUGACCACUGGGGAAUUCUCGGUGUUGUAUGUU
rnacentral:rRNA from 1 species